CAACUUUCAACAACGGAUCUCUUGGUUCUGGCAUCGAUGAAGAACGCAGCGAAAUGCGAUAAGUAGUGUGAAUUGCAGAAUUCAGUGAAUCAUCGAAUUUUUGAACGCACAUUGCGCCCCUUGGUAUUCCUUGGGGCAUGCCUGUUCGAGCGUCAUUU
rnacentral:rRNA from 1 species